UACGAAGGUGGCGAGCGUUGUUCGGAAUCACUGGGCUUAAAGAGCACGUAGGCGGUUUGCCAAGCAUUUGGUGAAAUCCCUCAGCUCAACUGAGGAAUUGCCGAAUGAACUGGUAGACUUGAGCUGCACAGGGGCGACUGGAACUCUAGGUGGAGCGGUGAAAUGCGUAGAUAUCUAGAGGAACGCCAGUGGUGAAAACGGGUCGCUGGGUGCAUGCUGACGCUGAGGUGCGAAAGCGUGGGGAGCGAACGGGAUUAGAUACCCCGGUA
rnacentral:rRNA from 1 species